GACGAACGCUGGCGGCGUGCUUAACACAUGCAAGUCGAACGGAAAGGCCCUGCUUUUGUGGGGUGCUCGAGUGACGAACGGGUGAGUAACACGUGAGUAACCUGCCCUUGACUUUGGGAUAACUUCAGGAAACUGGGGCUAAUACCGGAUAGGAGCUCCUGCUGCAUGGUGGGGGUUGGAAAGUUUCGGCGGUUGGGGAUGGACUCGCGGCUUAUCAGCUUGUUGGUGGGGUAGUGGCUUACCAAGGCUUUGACGGGUAGCCGGCCUGAGAGGGUGACCGGCCACAUUGGGACUGAGAUACGGCCCAGAGUCCUACGGGAGGCAGCAGUGGGGAAUAUUGCACAAUGGGCGGAAGCCUGAUGCAGCAACGCCGCGUGCGGGAUGACGGCCUUCGGGUUGUAAACCGCUUUCGCCUGUGACGAAGCGUGAGUGACGGUAAUGGGUAAAGAAGCACCGGCUAACUACGUG
rnacentral:rRNA from 1 species